AGCUCAGGUGCAUGCAAUGCACUGAGUGAUGGAAGGGCUGCAGCCAGGAUCCAACCCUUCCCAGCUCUGAUUCUGGGGUUGGUAGUGGAUGUGAGUGCAUCUCGUUGUAGACCUCUGCGUGCCUGAGACCUUCUAAAGCCCCAGGGAGGCAGCAGUGAUGUGGACAUGCCAUUCCAGGUGGUAUUAAUGUCCUCACGGUCCAUGGCUCCUGGAGUCACCUCUGCCCAAAGCAAAGCCUCCAUUUGCAUGCUUGCAAACCAUUAAUGCCUAACUAAAGGACAGCGCUGGAGCCAGGAAUGAAGGGGCAAACCAGGACAUGCUGUGUCAGCCCAUGCAAGCUGCAGGCAUGAGAUACAGCCAUCCUCUUCCAACUGCCUGAGCACAGGUCAGUUGUGCAGAGGUGAAUGGAGCUGCCUAUUUCUCUUUGUGCAGUGAUGGAAACUGUCCUGUCCAGCAGAUUGCAAUGGGUACAUAAAUAAGAGCACAAAGCUGUUGUGUUGGCCCAUUAUGCUGCAGGUUCACUUGGUGUGACCUUCCCAGGGAACCCUUGCUCUCAGAUGUGAGCACAGCACGGGGAGAAGAGCCCAGAGGGAGGGCUGAACCACUCCUGUUGCCAUGGAGACAGCAGGGACCAGGACGAUGCUCCAGAGAGAAAUCCCAGGUGGAAGUGGCUGCCCUGCCCCUCCUGCUCUCGGAUGGAGAACAAAGGGAUGCUGUGAGAAAGGCAUGACAGACAACACAGGCUAAGUCACAUUUGCCACAACACUCACAGCCCCAUGAAGCUGGAAGAGGGGAAUCACAAGUCUGGAACACAGGAAUAGCCUGGAGUUGUUCCAGUUACAGCUAGCAAUUUUGGAAGAUGAUGUUAAGCUUCCUGGACUGUGCUCAACCACAUCCUCAGCUCUUAACUCUGCUAUCACAGAUUCUUUACCCCCCUUUCUCACUGACAAGCUUCAGGGCAACCUCUAUGGGAGAUGGGACAGCUUCCCUUAGCCCCAGUGUUUCUCCUUACCUUCAGUCCCAUGCCCUGCAAAGGCUGCUGUGCAAAGGCUGCCUGAUGUGUCUCCCCAGCCCCUCCUUCAGCCUCCAGUCUGCUCUCAGUGAAGGAUUGCUGCUGCAAACAGAAUGGUCUGAAUUGAGCUGUCCUGGCACAGAUAGCCCACAGGCCAUAGGUUAAGUGCUCCUGCAACAAAGCACAGGCUCCUCACGGGUCACUGGUAAAUACAACAGAACUCUGGGCAUUUUUAACCUCUUCCUGCAGAACCAAACCCCACAUCAACGCUGAGCAAAGCUGCCCAGCUCACAUGCAGUGAUGCUCUUGGCUCUUACGGGACCACUGGGGGAGCUUGAGUAGAGGCAGCCCAGGCACCGCAUGGGUUAAGGAUGUCCUGACUUCACGCACUGCAGCACUUACAGCUCCCCUGGGCUCCAUCCCGUGCUGUGCUAAGGCUCACAGCCAGCUGAUUGGCACGGGGUCCCACUGGGGCUUGAGACCAGAGAGCACGAGCAACUUCUUACAGUGCGAAAUCACAGCAGAGCUGCUGUGUGUGCAGGGGGAUGUGGGUCUGCCUCAACAGAGCAAUCACAGUGCGCCUCGCCAGCCCACCUACCACUGGGAUCAGCGCUCAUCUCCAGCCAGACAUUUCUUUCAGACUCAACUAUGUUCCAAAACGCCUAACUUCAGCAUUGAGCACCGCUUGCCCUCCAUUUCCCUGCCUUACUCUUCAUCAUUCUGCUUGCCAGCAAGAAGUUAUUAUGUCCUAUAAAAACAAGUUGUCUCCCAGCUCAUCUGCUUUCACUGUUUGACCCUUGCAGCGCACACACUGAAGCCUCUGCCAUCUCAAUAGAUGCCAAGCAACGAGUUACGACUGCUCUGGAGACACCCAGACAGAAAGAGGUUCCUGCUGCUGACGCCAACCUCAGCCUCUGCACUAACCUUGAGAUCUGCAGUUUGCUCCCAGAAGCAUCGAUGCUCAGUCCUAAACCACCACUGCUGUAACAGCAAAGGAGGUUGGCAAAAUAAAUCAGCCCACGCUACAUCCACCUACUGUUGGGCACAGAAUGGUUUCCAUAUACAUUAUCCCACUGCACAAUCUCAGAAGAGCAAUUAAUGAGCAUAGAGACAAAGUCCUCCCACACUUCCUCCCCUGCUCUGUGUUCCCAGCUCCUAAAGACACACCACGCACAGCAAACACCUUUUUAGCAGAGAUCUUCUAGCGUACCUUUCUAAACUUUUUCCUUCUCUAAGGCUGCAGUCAAAAUCCAUCGUAAGGAAUUGAUCUGGAGCACUGAUCACCAGAGCAUGGAACUAAUAGAUUGGGAUUCAGGUCUGAUGUAUUUAUUUUGGGGGUGAAAUGCUAUUAUGUGAUG